UGAGGAGGACUCCGUCCCGGCAGGGAGGCAUGAUGGUGGAAGCGUGCACUGCUAAUCACACUGCACCUACAAGUGCAAAACAGAGAGAGGGACGCUGCUGCCGAGCCAGCCUUCCUCUUUUCUAGUGCAAACCCCUAGCCCAUGAAAUGCUGCUACCCACUUUCAUGGUAUGCCUUCCCUCCUCAGUUAAGACUUUCUGGAAACCAUAGACACACUUGGAGGUGUGUUUCCAUGGUGAUUCUAAAUAAAGUCAGGCUGACAAUGAAGAUGUACCAUCGAGGGAAACCUCCUCUCCAGGUCCUCCUUUCCCAUGGAGUUUUGAAACCAGUUACACUCCUGGGAAGCUUUGCCCAGAGCACGGGCAGUGACUAGGUCCACGGUGGUUGUGUCUUGCAUUCUACUUGGAGAAACUGCACACAGGUUUUCAAAAUCCUUCUGCUCUACUCUUUGGUCCCAUGUUUUGCCAUCAGUCUGGACAAAGGCAGUCAGCAUCAACUAUGCCUCAGCCUGGACAGCACCCUGCCCUGAAAUCUCUUUCACAAUAUUAAUGAGUCCAUAAUCUUUUAAUUUGGCCUCCUACAGAAUCUCAAGGCAUGAACAAACUGCCGUGAGCACCGUGGCAGAAGGGUGUGGCAGAAGAGCAGGCUGAAGAGGAUGGUGCAAGAACAGGAAGGGACAAAGCUGCUGACAGCCAAGGGAUACGGGGGAGACAAGGGAAGAGUGGAACAAGUGAGCCCUGGAGACUUCCAUGUGUCGAGGAACAGUGCCCUCUGCUGUUCAUGAAGAGUAACUGCACUGUGGUCAAACUGAGGGCCUCCCUGCUGCAAUAGCGCGCCAUGCUGCCCAGCUGUUUGCUGUGAUGGAGAAGUGUCUAGGUCUCAGCUACAAGCUGCAGCAGCUCUCUCCUCAUGCUGCAGGCAGCCUCUCACUUUUUCUAUGCUGCUUAUGAGCCCUGCCUCAACUUCACAGCAAGCAUUCAGACAAGGGCAACAGGAACGCAGGAACUGAAACAACUCUUUGGGAAUUUAGGUAUGUAGAGGUGUUGCCUAAACAGCCCAGCUAACAGCAGUUUAGGUACUAAAUUUGCGUCCGACUACAGAAAUAAGUGGUUUAAAACUGCCUUUCAUUCAAUUGAAUUGUCUCUAGGGGUUGGCAUUUGGGCGGAGUGUGGGAAAGUGACUGUAGGACGGCUUGCUUAGGUGAUUUUUCUAGACCCUUUGGGUUGCAAGGGUCCUAAAAGGAAGAAAUCUUGACUGCAGGAGAGAGGGCACUCUCCAGAGAACAGGCUGGCUUCAGUCACCACAAGUUUUCCUGGAGAGGAGUGCCUUGAGCUCAGCACUGAGACCCUGAGCAGGCUGCCUCCUCAGUGCCGGGUCCUGACGGACGGACUCAGCUGCCUUUGCAGAACACGCAAGUGGAUGGGGUCUUGAGCCGCCUCUAAGCUUUCCAGAGCAGGCCUGCCUGAUUUCUCUCCCCCACUCGUUAUCAUUAACAUUGCUUUCUAUUAGCCAGCGGGUCUUCGUUUAAUAAAUGAUCCCUGCAUCUUGUGUGGGCUCACUUCUCAACAGUGACAUCGUGUGGUUUCAAGGAGCAAUAGCAGUGGGCUGAGCUAGCUCUUACCAGGAAUGUCAGAGCUGACAGGGGUUCUGAGGGUAGGAA